UACGUAGGGUCCAAGCGUUGUCCGGAAUUACUGGGCGUAAAGGGCGCGUAGGCGGCCUUCUAAGUCGAACGUGAAAUCCCCGGGCUCAACCCGGGAACUGCGUCCGAUACUGGAAGGCUUGAAUCCGGGAGAGGGAUGCGGAAUUCCAGGUGUAGCGGUGAAAUGCGUAGAUAUCUGGAGGAACACCGGUGGCGAAGGCGGCAUCCUGGACCGGCAUUGACGCUGAGGCGCGAAAGCGUGGGGAGCGAACAGG
rnacentral:rRNA from 1 species